rnacentral:rRNA from 1 species
GCGGAUCUCUUAAAGCUGUUCUCAGUUCGGACUGCAGUCUGCAACUCGACUGCACGAAGCUGGAAUCGCUAGUAAUCGCGGAUCAGCACGCCGCGGUGAAUACGUUCCCGGGCCUUGUACACACCGCCCGUCACACCAUGGAAGUCUGCAAUGCCCGAAGCCGGUGGCCUAACCACUUAUGUGGAAGGAGCCGUCUAAGGCAGGGCAGAUGACUGGGGUGAAGUCGUAACAAGGUAGC